UCUACUUAAUAAUUAGUUCACUAAUACUAUGGUAUAAAAAUAUAAAUAAAUAGCAACAUAAUUUGGUUUGGCCCAGGUUAUCCAGAUUCUUUCAAAUUAAACAAACUAUAAAUAAAC